rnacentral:lncRNA from 1 species
AGCUUCAUUAUCAAUCAUUCUCCCCCAGAAAGGGAAAAUAAAAAUGUGUGUGGGAAAGAUAAAGCUGUCAGAAAAGGAAAGGGAAAAAAACAUCCAACCCUGAACCCCCAGCAGCCCCCAUGGAAGGAGGCGAUAUAAAUAGAGUCGCUGUCACUUUGAUGAAUUAGAUCUUUUGUUAAUUAGGAUACAUUGAUUUAAGGGUUGUCCAACCAGAUAGACCUCUCUCCCUUCCCUUCCCUCACAAACUGCAGCCCAGGGUGGCGGCAGUGCACCCUCACCCUGCCUCUCCCUGCCUCCUGCUUCAAUUCCCUGUUUCCACUUCUGCGUCAGAAGGGAGCCUGGGCAAAUCCUCCCCGGUGACGUGGCAGAGCCAAGGCUCGAGCGUGCCUUUGGUGGGCAAAACGCCGGUGAGGUGAACUGUGGGGUGUUUCUGGCCAGGAUUUAUCGGGGCUGGGGGCUGUGAUGGGGUCCAGCCCCACAUUCAGCUAGGGAUUAAGCAGGAGCCUUGCUUGGGGUGCAGGAGCCAGCCAGGCCAGGCAGAGCGAAGCACCCGUGCCAUUUGGGGAACGUCGGCCAUGGAGGGUUUGCACAGUGUGAGUCAAGAUCAGGGCUCCAAAAAAAACCACCCUGUCAUCUGCAGCUGAGGCUGCGUCUCCAAGUGCACGUGGGCGCUGCGUCAGCAGCACGUGGAGCAGCCAGAAUUCAGCAGGUGGCACAACGCAGGGCCCUGCGUGCCUUCCCUGAGCUGCUCUGGGGGGGCUGCAGAGCCCUGGGCACUGAAAUCGUGUCCCCCUUGUGCCCUUUGUGAACUGGUGACCCCUGGUUUUGGCCCCAACAGCAGCUCUGGGCUCAGGUGGGCCCUGGCUUUGUGCUCCUUGCACCCGCAACCUCUCCUGCUCCUCCCCGCGGCCCCUCCUCUGCCCUCUGCUCCUUUCCACCCCAAGACUUACACCUCGGAGUAAAAUCCUCACCAACAGCUUUCUCCUGCCUCUACGCCGCUGACUUGGAUGGAGUUGUACCUACAGAUAAUUCAGACGCCAGACACCCUCAUUCCAGCCACAGAAAUAGGAGGAUUUUAAGGUGAAAUUGGCAGAUCAAAGUGAGUUUACAGAGCUCCUUUAAACAAAUUUUUACAAUAAUAAUUUCUCGGCGCAGUGUCUGCAAUAAAAAGACAAUAG